rnacentral:pre_miRNA from 1 species
CAAAUACUCCCUCCGUCCAGAAAUACUUGUCAUCAAAAUGGAUAAAAGGAAAUGUAUCUAGACAUAUUUUAGUUUUAGAUACAUCUAUUUUUAUCCAUUUUGAUGACAAGUAUUUUCGGACGGAGGGAGUAGAAA